CCCUACGGGUUGUAAACUGCUUUUGCAGGGGAAUAAACCUCAUUACGUGUAAUGAGUUGAAUGUACUCUGAGAAUAAGGAUCGGCUAACUCCGUGC
rnacentral:rRNA from 1 species